GCCUGGCUGGCUCAGUUGGUAGAUCGUGUGACUCUUGAUCUCAGGAUUGUGAGUUCAAGUCCCAUGUUGGGUA
rnacentral:tRNA from 1 species